UCCCGCUUAGCUCAGUUGGUAGAGCGCGUCACUAGUACACCGCGUGUCUUGUAUGGCACUCGAGGUGAUGACGAGGUCAGUCGUUCAAGUCGGCUAGUGGGAA